rnacentral:miRNA from 1 species
GCGACCCAUACUUGGUUUCAGG